rnacentral:miRNA from 1 species
GAAUUCGACCGGAAAAUCACCGCAAAAGUCGCCCCAAAAAAUUUGAAAAUCUGCCCAGAUUUUUAGAUUUUUUGGCGACUUUUACGGCAAUUUUCCAGAGAUUUC